rnacentral:rRNA from 1 species
AGUUCGUGGAGUGAUCUGUCUGCUUAAUUGCGUUUCACUAAGGACCUAUACAUUUACGUGUGUUGCAGCACUUUGACCCCUCUUUUCAACUUCUGUUGUUUAAGGGCGUGUGUCUUAGCUUUUGCUUGCUCGCACAACUAGGUCCUGAAAGCAACGAACGUGACCGCAACCUCUUGUUGCCUUUUGAUACCAACAGUUUCUUUCUUCGCACUCUGUGUGUUGAUUGACUGCAUAAAGGCUUUUUAAACUAGAGGGACCGCUGUUACUUUCUUAAACCAGAGGAAGGUUGCGGCAAUAACAGGUC